UGACCAGUUUCUGUCCAUCCUGCUCAUAAGAAGUGCUCCAGAAUAUUAAAAAGCCUUAACCAAUUCAUGCUAUUUGGCAGAAUGAGUAAGACCACACUCCACUGUGGGCUAUACUACUUAGUAUGGUUCAUUACUAUAUUGUGGCCUACAUU
rnacentral:snoRNA from 2 species